rnacentral:sRNA from 1 species
UAUGGCUCACUGGGGAAAAGUUAAAAAAAAUUAGGACUGUUAACUGCCUUAUAAAAGUAACUGAAGACAAUUUUUAUCAUCAUAGUAGGCCUAUAACAUCAAAACCUUACAACAAUUUUUGUUAAAGUUUUGUCUCAACUGAUAUAUACAUCUCUUUAUGAAGAGAAGUGUAGACUAAUUUAGACAACUACAAAAAUUAAACAGGUCCUUUUGAGGGAUCAAUGCACAUGAAGCUAAUCAAGAGAAAACAAAGGGAAAAUAUGCUAAAGUACAUUUAUUGACAAGUACAGAUGUUACAAAGGUCCUUUUUAGGGCCAUAAGAAAACCAUUUACUAUGGUCCAACAAGAACAGGUUAUUUUAAUACCAAAAGAAAGGUCCUUUUUAGGGCCAUAAGAAAACCAUUAACUGUGGUCCAACAAGAACAGGUCAUUUUAAUACCAAAAGAAAGGUUCUUUUUAGAGCCAAAAAUAGAUUUUUGUCCAAAGCAUGGAAUAUGAUUUUCCUAAAAGGUCUUAUUGAAAUAUAGGAGAUAUGAACUUCGGAGUGCUGCCCUGAAGUUUAUGCAAAGAUCAAGUAUUUCUUUUUUUCUAAAGCAAAGAGAAUUAUGAAAGAGAACAGUACAUCAUGAAAUGCAUUUUAUGACCUAAACACGUUUGAACUGGAGAGCUAUUUUCUUCAAGAAGUUUAAAAGUUGUCUAAAUUGAUCUUCUACUUUUCUUUGGGGUGUGAGCUUGUACUGGAAUAAAAAAAAUGCAUAAUCAAUGAAUUGCAUAGUGACACAUUUUCAUGACUACCAACACUAUCCUACAGCAGAAAACUAACAACUUUAAUUUAGCUCAAUUAAAAGAUUCUUUCUUUUCCUUGACCAUCACAAGCUCUUUCUUUAUAAAACAAAAUUAGUUCAAGGCCAGUUUAGGCUAAGUCUAAAAUCAGCAUGCUUUCAUUUUGGACUAACUAUCCACCUAAUAACAAACAUGAACUUUUCUAGAUAGGCCCUAUAUUGAUUGAUUAAACUACUUCAUCUUACUGGACCCAAUGUUGGUGUUCAAUGAUUGAUUUCUUAUUCUGAAAGGAUUUGCUGGUAUUUUUUGUGUUUCUGUUAUUUUCAUGCCAUUUUCUUCCAACAUUAAAUUCUUUUCUUUAAAUUCUAUUUUUGAUAUGCUAAACUCUUCUCUAAUUGAAAGUUUGUCUUCAUCAUUUUAAAUUUUAGCUGAAUUCUCUGCAUACUAAAAGACAUCCUAGACGUAUUCCUAGCUAUUCAACAUGUCAUCAUACUAGAGUCUUACUCUGUGUUUGUUCUUCAUUUAUUUUUCUGACUGAUAUUUUCAGUGUUUCUUUUAGUUUCAACAUUUUUCCUUUCAACAUUCAUUUCUGUUUUCACUAGUUUUUCUUUGUCUUGCUGGAUGCUUCUUAGAAACCUUAGUGUAAAUAGUCUUACUCAAAGAAAUAAAUAAAUGAUUUAUAUUAUAGAAAAAGUCACUAGAAACCAUGAUCAUCAUAUCAUGUCUGAAAGAGGGGGUUAUGAUCAGUAAUGUACAGAAUUUUAGGGAUUUAAACAAAAAGCUAAUAAUUAUUACUUAACUAAAUAUCCAAUUGAUAAUUUAAAAAACUUUCAAUUCAAUCAGCAAUUAUUUUAAGGACUUAGUCCAGGAUACAACUGCUGACUCUCACUGGCCACACUAUUUUGACAUUUUCACUGCAAGCCUUCACUCUGUUAUAGUAUGUUCUGACCAGAUCUCAUUCUUAGCAUUCUUGUGGGAAGUAAACCUGUGAGACAUUUUCUGCUGAAUUUAAAGAUUGAAAAAUAUCUCAUCUUAAAUCAUGAAUUAAAAUUUCUAGCCACCAUUAGGAUUCAAACUUAAGAAUUCUCAGUUUUAUACCAAUAAACCUCAUACAAUACAUUAAAAAUUGUAUAGAGUGUUGUAUAUACAAAGCAAACAGGGAAAUGAAAACAGGCACAGAUGUACCUGACAUUACCAUAAGUAUUUAAAAAAAAUAACCAGAAGUGCAGUGACGAAAGAUAAAUAAAUGUUGAACAACAAAAACUAAAUACAUUUCACCUGAUAUGUGCCCACCACAUCAUCAGUGCCAGGUGAUAAUUCAAGAUGUCCUAAAUGUAGGUGUCCUCAGCAUGCAAUCAAUCCUCACCCAUCAGUGGCCAUGGUAAGUGUUGUGUAUUGUGCAUGAUGUAUGAACUUAUACUUUCUCAAGAAGAUGAUCUUUGAUUGGCUGGUGCCUGACCAUCUGGCUGACCAUUGCUUUAGGUUUAUCAAUAUCUAAUAGAGAGCAUAAGACUCCUGCUGGUAAAGUUACUUAUGCACUAGUAUUUUGGAUGGGGACCUCUGAGGGUUAUGAAAAAAACACAGAAUAGAUAAGAACGCUCUAGUGUUUCUCAAUUUCUUCAACAUUUGUGUGUCUUUCUGUAUUCCAAUCUUUCUGCUGAUUUCAAACUAAACUCUUUCCCCCUCUUUUACUUUCUUAAACUUUUUCUAUUCCAUAAAGAUUAGCUUAAGUGUUAAGUUAGUAUAGAGAUGCUUUUAAUAAUCUACUUAUAAUCUACUUUUUUAAAAGUAUUUUUCAGUUAAUCUUCAAGACAAGAGUCAAGAAUAUAAAGAUCAAGUGGUAACCUAAGUACAUAACUAGCUUACAUAAGUUUUUAACUAAAUGUUUCUAAUUAUAUUAGAAAGUUUAUUGACAGCUUGUGUGUGCUAAAGAGUUAUAUGGAUACAGAACAGGAUGAAAUUACUUCAGAGGUGGUCAUAAAAGCCAAGAAACAUAGAGGUCAAGAUGAUGACCGUCUGGAGUUAAACAUGUCAAUGGGACAUUAAGUUAAGGUCAUGGAACAUGAAGGAAAGAUGAUUCAGAUCAAGAAACAAGAAAGUGAUGUGGGCUCUCCAGAACUCAACAUGUCAGUGUGAAUAAGGAUAAAGGUGAAGUUAUUUAAACAUUAUCGAACCUUUAUUUUUGUUUUGUUUGUUUGUAAAUUGUUUUGUCUUGACAGCCAUUGGACAAAUGUUUUUUUGUCAAAACCGUAUAGUAUGUUUCAAAUGUGAACAUGUUCAAUGUUGUAUUUUCUUUGAAGUUUAUUUAAUUUUAGAUAGUUUUAUCAUUUCUUU